rnacentral:ribozyme from 1 species
AAAAACAAAAAAACAAACAAACCCCCUCUUUCCCUCCCGAAUUUUUUUUUUUUUUUUUUUUUCUUCUCUCAAUCAAUCAA